UACGAAGGGUGCAAGCGUUACUCGGAAUUACUGGGCGUAAAGGGUGCGUAGGUGGUUUGUUAAGUCUGCUGUGAAAUCCCCGGGCUCAACCUGGGAAUGGCAGUGGAUACUGGCAAGCUAGAGUGCGGUGGAGGGUAGUGGAAUUCCCGGUGUAGCAGUGAAAUGCGUAGAGAUCGGGAGGAACACCAGUGGCGAAGGCGGCUACCUGGACCAGCACUGACACUGAAGCACGAAAGCGUGGGGAGCAAACAGG
rnacentral:rRNA from 1 species